rnacentral:rRNA from 1 species
AGCGGGAAGUAGUUUACUACUUUGCCGGCGAGCGGCGGACGGGUGAGUAAUGUCUGGGAAACUGCCUGAUGGAGGGGGAUAACUACUGGAAACGGUAGCUAAUACCGCAUAACGUCUUCGGACCAAAGUGGGGGACCUUCGGGCCUCACGCCAUCGGAUGUGCCCAGAUGGGAUUAGCUAGUAGGUGGGGUAAUGGCUCACCUAGGCGACGAUCCCUAGCUGGUCUGAGAGGAUGACCAGCCACACUGGAACUGAGACACGGUCCAGACUCCUACGGGAGGCAGCAGUGGGGAAUAUUGCACAAUGGGCGCAAGCCUGAUGCAGCCAUGCCGCGUGUGUGAAGAAGGCCUUCGGGUUGUAAAGCACUUUCAGCGAGGAGGAAGGCCAAUAACUUAAUACGUUGUUGGAUUGACGUUACUCGCAGAAGAAGCACCGGCUAACUCCGUGCCAGCAGCCGCGGUAAUACGGAGGGUGCAAGCGUUAAUCGGAAUCACUGGGCGUAAAGCGCACGCAGGCGGUUUGUUAAGUCAGAUGUGAAAUCCCCGCGCUUAACGUGGGAACUGCAUUUGAAACUGGCAAGCUAGAGUCUUGUAGAGGGGGGUAGAAUUCCAGGUGUAGCGGUGAAAUGCGUAGAGAUCUGGAGGAAUACCGGUGGCGAAGGCGGCCCCCUGGACAAAGACUGACGCUCAGGUGCGAAAGCGUGGGGAGCAAACA